GACGAACGCUGGCGGCGUGCUUAACACAUGCAAGUCGAACGGAGUGGCGAGCGGGUGAGUAACACGUGGGUGAUCUGCCUUGCACGUAGGGAUAAGCUGGGGAAACUGGGUCUAAUACCGGAUAGUGCAAGAUGAGCUCGCGGCCUAUCAGAGUGUGUGUGGGGUAAUGGCCAACCAAGGCGUCGACGGGUAGCCGGCCUGAGAGGGUGUACGGCCACAUUGUGACUGAGAUACGGCCCAGACUCCUACGGGAGGCAGCAGGGGGGAAUAGUGCACAAUGGGCGGAAUCCUGAUGCAGCGACGCCGGGUGGGGGAGGAAGGCCUUCGGGUUGUAAACUCCUUUCGACAGGGACGCGGUACCUGUAUAAGAAGCACCGGCUAACUACGUGCCAGCAGCCGCGGUAAUUC
rnacentral:rRNA from 1 species